rnacentral:misc_RNA from 1 species
CAGAGUACCUGCCCAUGGGGUAGAUCUCCCACCCUUUGUUAAUUUUACCUUUGUUGCCUUGGCAGGCCCGUCGUUUUGACCACCGGCUUCAGCGGGUCAGUGCCUGCCAGUGGACCCCCAAAACUCUAUAAUUUUGUGUCUGAAUACUAAAUAAAAUCGUUA